rnacentral:pre_miRNA from 1 species
GGGCAGGAGCGCGGAUCCUGGGCUGUGUCCCCGGCGCCCAGUGCUCCCGGGCCUGUGCUGUUGGAUUCGUGCUCCGGGUCAUGCAUCCCCCU